rnacentral:rRNA from 1 species
GACGAACGCUGGCGGCGUGCCUAAUACAUGCAAGUAGAACGCACAGUUUAUACCGUAGCUUGCUACACCAUAAACUGUGAGUUGCGAACGGGUGAGUAACGCGUAGGUAACCUGCCUGGUAGCGGGGGAUAACUAUUGGAAACGAUAGCUAAUACCGCAUAAUAUUGAUUAUUGCAUGAUAAUUGAUUGAAAGAUGCUAUUGCAUCACUACCAGAUGGACCUGCGUUGUAUUAGCUAGUAGGUGAGGUAACGGCUCACCUAGGCGACGAUACAUAGCCGACCUGAGAGGGUGAUCGGCCACACUGGGACUGAGACACGGCCCAGACUCCUACGGGAGGCAGCAGUAGGGAAUCUUCGGCAAUGGACGAAAGUCUGACCGAGCAACGCCGCGUGAGUGAAGAAGGUUUUCGGAUCGUAAAGCUCUGUUGUAAGAGAAGAACGGGUGUGAGAGUGGAAAGUUCACACUGUGACGGUAUCUUACCAGAAAGGGACGGCUAACUGCGUG